CAGUCGCCGCGGUAAUACGUAGGUGGCAAGCGUUGUCCGGAAUUAUUGGGCGUAAAGGGCUCGCAGGCGGUUUCUUAAGUCUGAUGUGAAAGCCCCCGGCUCAACCGGGGAGGGUCAUUGGAAACUGGGAAACUUGAGUGCAGAAGAGGAGAGUGGAAUUCCGCGUGUAGCGGUGAAAUGCGUAGAGAUGUGGAGGAACACCAGUGGCGAAGGCGACUCUCUGGUCUGUAACUGACGCUGAGGAGCGAAAGCGUGGGGAGCGAACAGGAUUAGAUACCCCAGUAGUCCCUGUCUCUUAUAC
rnacentral:rRNA from 1 species